CCACGUAAUUUUAUUACUGCAAAGCUUUCGAUCGUAUUAUUAGCACUGAUGAAGAUCCGGGCUUACGGAUCGAAAGCUUUGCAGUAAUAAAUUUACGUGGUGUUUCCA